CCUACGGGUGGCAGCAGUGGGGAAUAUUGGGCAAUGGGCGCAAGCCUGACCCAGCGACGCCGCGUGAGGGAAGAAGGCCUUUGGGUCGUAAACCUCUGUUGUAUGGGAAGAAGGAAGUGACGGUACCAUACGAGGAAGUCCCGGCUAACUACGUGCCAGCAGCCGCGGUAAUACGUAGGGGACGAGCGUUGUCCGGAAUUACUGGGCGUAAAGGGCGCGCAGGCGGAUAUUUAAGUCAGCUGUAAAAGGCAUGAGCUCAACUCAUGUAUGCGGUUGAAACUGGGUAUCUAGAGUGCUGGAGAGGUAAGUGGAAUUCCAUGUGUAGCGGUGGAAUGCGUAGAUAUAUGGAGGAACACCGAUGGCGAAGGCAGCUUACUGGGCCGGAAUUGACGCUGAGGCACGAAAGCGUGGGGAGCAAACAGGAUUAGAUACCCCUGUAGUC
rnacentral:rRNA from 1 species